rnacentral:rRNA from 1 species
UACGUAGGGGGCAAGCGUUGUCCGGAUUUAUUGGGCGUAAAGAGCGUGUAGGCGGCCAGGUAGGUCGGCUGUGAAAACUCGAGGCUCAACCUCGAGCUGUCGGCUGAAACCAUCUGGCUAGAGUCCGGAAGAGGAGAAUGGAAUUCCCGGUGUAGCGGUGAAAUGCGCAGAUAUCGGGAAGAACACCCGUGGCGAAGGCGGUUCUCUGGGACGGUACUGACGCUGAGACGCGAAAGCGUGGGGAGCGAACAGG